rnacentral:precursor_RNA from 13 species
CCAGGGUCCCGCCUCCCUGCUCCGUGGGGGUGAGGUAGUAGGUUGUAUAGUUUGGUGGGAGGGAUUCUGCCCAUUUCAGGUGAUAACUAUACAGUCUAUUGCCUUCCUCGAGGAGUGGAAGCUCAUCUAGGGGGGAU